AACCAACAGGGAUUGCCCUAGUAACGGCGAGUGAAGCGGCAACAGCUCAAAUUUGAAAUCUGGCGCAAGCCCGAGUUGUAAUUUGUAGAGGAUGCUUCUGGGCAGCGGCCGUUCUAAGUUCCUUGGAACAGGACGUCAUAGAGGGUGAGAAUCCCGUAUGUGACCGGCACGUACCCUCCACGUAGCUCCUUCGACGAGUCGAGUUGUUUGGGAAUGCAGCUCUAAAUGGGAGGUAAAUUUCUUCUAAAGCUAAAUACCGGCCAGAGACCGAUAGCGCACAAGUAGAGUGAUCGAAAGAUGAAAAGCACUUUGGAAAGAGAGUUAAAAAGCACGUGAAAUUGUUGAAAGGGAAGCGCUUACAACCAGACUUCGUGGCGGUGUUCCGCCGGUCUUCUGACCGGUCUACUCGCCGCCGCGAGGCCAGCAUCGUCUGGGGCCGCCGGAUAAGACCUUGGGAAUGUAGCUUGCCUCGGUAAGUGUUAUAGCCCAUGGUGAUGCGGCGUGCCUCGGGCGAGGUCCGCGCU
rnacentral:sRNA from 1 species